AAAAGGCUAUUUGUUUACGCCUUCGAUUCCGCGCUGCAUUGGUAUCGUCGCUUGUUGCUUUGUACGAUACAAUUAGUAAUUUUCCAACCUGAUAACAAAUCAAACACAAGUGUAGUGUAAUAAUACAUUCCGUCGAACUUUGGACGAAAUUUUUGUUAAUAAUCAUUACCGGGUCAUUUUUCAUGUUUUUGGCUUCGGAAUUCCAUCAUAUCACCACAAUCGUCGUCAAUUUGUCCCGCUGCUUAAUGACACAAAACAUAUGAACACAUCCAUUAUACUCGUGUGUAUUGUGUCAUUGUACCCACCUUAAACCGUGUUAAACUAGCAACUAAUGCCUUUUUUCGAUUCUAUUUAGUGCUUGCAUUUAGUUUCAUAUCCUGGCCGGGCUGACGUUUUGACUCUUCGGACGGAAGCGGGAAGCUUUUUACGUUGUGCCGCUUUUGCAAAGGGAUGACAGGGGGAUGAAUGUGCUGAUGCAGAGUUACAGAAGCAGCGAGAUGAGUUAUGUCGGGGCGUUUCGGGGGUACGAACGCCGAUUUCACGCUGGCUUUGUUCAACUGACACCUGGUCAUGCCCAUGCAUUUAUGGGGUGCAUUUAAACGAAAUGCUGUGAUAUGUGAUACAGUAGAGUGUAAUUGAGGUGGUUGUCAAGGGUAAUAAUGUUGGCGUGCGUGAGAAAUGUUUAUUUUGCGAAGCGAGCGGCAAACAUUACUUCCAAUGAGGCGAAAAGCGAAAAGGCAAACUGCAUAAUUGCCGCGACACCCCCACAAUGCGCGCCGGACACAAUAUAACAUAAUAAACAAAACGACGCAAACAUUUAUAAGCGCAUUAUGCGCCGGCGAUUGUCGCCAGCUUGGGCAGAGGUGGAAUGUGCCUCUUGCGCCAUUGUUACGCCGCCCGUCCUACACGUGUAGCGACGGCGGGACGCCAUUGUCCUACGACAAAAGGCGCAACUCCCUGCGACACCUUCAAAUGUGGAAUGAAAAUAAAACCUAACAGUUUCGGGUGUUGUUGUUGUUAUUAAUAGCUGUUUCUUCU